GGUCAAGCAAUCAAGGGCUAUGG
rnacentral:rRNA from 1 species